rnacentral:lncRNA from 1 species
CUCUGCUCCUGCUAUGCUCCAACCUCACUCUUCCCUGAUUUCUCCUCCUGGCAUUCCAGGCUCCUGGACCCCAGUAUCUUCUUCAGACUGAGGAUUUGACUUCUGCUUGGUCUCCUAGGCCACCUAGUUGUUGGCACUUUCUUACAGCAGCCCUAGGAACUAACACAGGCACCGACUGCACCAAGCAGGAUUCUGGAAGCUGAGGUUACAGUGGAGAAGGAAACAGGGGAGCAGCUGCUCUGUCCUAUAAGGUGGCGUAAGUAUGGAGAACAGGCCCAGACUCUUCCUAACAGCCCACGGGAGCCAGCAGGAGCCAGCAGGAGGCCAGUGGGGAUGGAGAGAGGAUGGCACAAAGGGACGGCAAGGUCCGGCAGGGGUUGGGAACACUGAGGCAGCCGCAGACUCUACAAGGUCUCCAGGUCCAGAGCGUGGACCCUCUGAAGUCAGUCCUUCCUCCACAGUUUCUGUCUGAAAUCCUGCUCCACGUUGUGUUCGGCUUUCACGUGGCACACGCCUCUCCUUGCUGGACACGCCAGCCAGGCUUUGUCAUUUCAUCCUAUCUUUUUUGUCAGCUCAUGACAGUAACAGCAGUGUCACUCCAAAACAACCUUGGCAUUCACACCAGCACCUAUCUGGGCACCAAAAUCUCGAGGUGACACUUGGCUUUGAGGCCAGCCUCCCACAUCUUUCAGAGCAUGCUCCAUGAGUGACCUGAAUCUGCCUGCUGACAUCCUCAGGUGGAAUAUGCCACCAGGGUCCCUUCUCCAGCCCCACCACACUGCGGCCCACUCCUUCCAGGCACCCCGGAACACUGUCCGACAGCGCCGACCCACAGGAUGUUCCAGGACCAUGGAAGUGCUUUAUGUCUGUGCUGUCUAAUACAGGAGUUAUUGAACAUUAGAAAUGUUGUUAGUGGGCUGGGGAACUGAACUUUUAAUUGCAUUUAGUUGUAGUUAAUUUAAGUGUAAAUCAUCACUUGUGGCUCGUGGCUACCUUACUGGGUAGCUCUGGCUAGCUCUACGGGAUCUAGGUCAGCCUUCUUAAAAAGAUGGAAGAGGUUGGGUGUGAUGGCUCACACCUGUAAUCCCAGCACUUUGGGAGGCCGA